rnacentral:rRNA from 1 species
UGGGGAAUAUUGGACAAUGGGGGAAACCCUGAUCCAGCAAUGCCGCGUGAGUGAAGAAGGCCUUAGGGUUGUAAAGCUCUUUCGCCCGCGAAGAUAAUGACGGUAGCGGGAGAAGAAGCCCCGGCUAACUCCGUGCCAGCAGCCGCGGUAAUACGGAGGGGGCUAGCGUUGUUCGGAAUUACUGGGCGCAAAGCGUACGUAGGCGGAUGCGCAAGUUGAGGGUGAAAUCCCGGGGCUUAACCUCGGAAUUGCCCUCAAAACUGCACGUCUUGAGACCGAGAGAGGUAAGGGGAAUUCCUAGUGUAGAGGUGAAAUUCGUAGAUAUUAGGAAGAACACCAGUGGCGAAGGCGCCUUACUGGCUCGGUACUGACGCUGAGGUACGAAAGCGUGGGGAGCAAACA